AAAAAGAAUGUUCACAAGGUCUUAAUUUUAAUUUCAAUGUCAACUAAGAAAAUGAAAAAAGAAAGGAACAAAAAGAAGCAACAUCCUCUGCUACUGUAUAUAUCAAAGAGAAAGUGUCAGAGAGGAUGGUUUAGGCUAAGGUAGAUCGCUGAUGGUCAUAAAAUUUCUCUCGUGUAUUUUAGCAAGGCUACUAACAUGUACUUUAUGUGAAAACACCAUGACCCAAUCAGAAACACCAACCGAUACACCAGCGAAGCUCGUUACACCACAAGAAGGAAUCGGCCGUUCUACUCCUCCUACUUAGCAAUCGAACUUUGGGAUCAGCUAUUGGAUUAAAGUGGUAUAUAGUUGAUAAGAUGAGAGGUUGUGGAUUGGAGCUAAAAGAGAUUAUAUGGAAGCAAAAGAUGUGCAGUUGAAGACCUGGAACAGUUCAGCCUUAGUUACUGCAAUUGCAGUCCUCAAGUCGCGAUCGCGGUCAGUCAAAGAUGGUCAGGAUAGUGCGAUUGUGGAACACACCCGUAGUCACGUUGGCCAUGAUCUCGGCUAAGCUGGAGUAUGACCCGGGGCAGUUUUGUAAUUUCUCUUGGAUGAAUCCCAAACCUCAUAUAGGCAAAAACCCUUUCUUCUUUGGGUAUUGUUUACCUCAUAGACAAUUUUGAAUUAGAAGCAAGAAACCCUAAUUGAGCAAGUAUGUUACUAAUUGUGGAGGCUAGAUUUCUUAGUAUUUUUGUGAAGAAUGAAUUCUUUGGAUAAUCCUUAUGGUAUAUCUUUCUUUA